rnacentral:rRNA from 1 species
GUCGAGAAUCUUUCACAAUGGGGGCAACCCUGAUGGAGCGACGCCGCGUGGAGGAUAAGGUCUUCGGAUUGUAAACUCCUGUCAUGCGUGAACAAGGUUGCUUGGAUAAUACCUGAGCAAAUUGAUGGUAGCGCAAGAGGAAGAGACGGCUAACUCUGUGCCAGCAGCCGCGGUAAUACAGAGGUCUCAAGCGUUGUUCGGAAUCACUGGGCGUAAAGGGUGCGUAGGUGGCGUGGCAAGUCAGAUGUGAAAGCCCGGGGCUCAACCUCGGAACUGCAUCCGAUACUGCCAUGCUAGAGUACUGGAGGGGUGACUAGAAUUCUCGGUGUAGCAGUGAAAUGCGUAGAUAUCGAGAGGAAUACCAAAGGCGUAGGCAGGUCACUGGACAGUUACUGACACUGAGGCACGAAGGCCAGGGGAGCGAACGGGAUUAGAAACCCGUGUAGUCC